rnacentral:rRNA from 1 species
CCUACGGGUGGCAGCAGUGGGGAAUAUUGGGCAAUGGAGGAAACUCUGACCCAGCAACGCCGCGUGAAUGAUUAAGGUCCUCGGAUUGUAAAGUUCUUUUCUAAGGGGAGAAGAAAGUGACGGUACCUUAGGAAUAAGCCUCGGCUAACUACGUGCCAGCAGCCGCGGUAAUACGUAGGAGGCGAGCGUUAUCCGGAAGGACUGGGCGUAAAGGGUGCGUAGGUGGUUUGGCAAGUUAGUAGCGUAACUCCAAGGCGCAACCUUGGAACGACUACUAAAACUGUUGGACUUGAGUGCAGGAGGGGGAACCGGAAUUCCUGGUGUAGCGGUGGAAUGCGUAGAUAUUAGGAGGAACACCAGUGGCGAAGGCGGGUUGCUGGACUGUAACUGACACUGAGGCACGAAAGCGUGGGGAGCAAACAGGAUUAGAUACCCGAGUAGUC